GUCCACGCCGUAAACGGUGGGCGCUAGUUGUGGGGACCUUCCACGGUCUCUGCGACGCAGCUAACGCAUUAAGCGCCCCGCCUGGGGAGUACGAUCGCAAGAUUAAACUCAAAGGAAUUGACGGGGCCCCGCACAAGCAGCGGAGCAUGCGGCUUAAUUCGACGCAACGCGAAGAACCUUACCAAGGCUUGACAUAUAGGGAAAGCGGCAGAAAUGUCGUGUCCGCAAGGGCUCUAUACAGGUGGUGCAUGGUUGUCGU
rnacentral:rRNA from 1 species